rnacentral:miRNA from 1 species
UACCUCAUUGAUUGGAAGGAAUCCCUUCUGGUCGAUGAGAUUGUUAUACCUCAUUGAUCGGAAGGGAUUCCUUCCAUCAAUGAGGAU